rnacentral:rRNA from 1 species
AAAACAUCGCCUCUUGAAAAACAUAAGAGGUCCAGCCUGCCCAGUGACACUGUUUAACGGCCGCGGUAUCCUAACCGUGCGAAGGUAGCGUAAUCACUUGUCCUUUAAAUAGGGACUAGUAUGAACGGCAUCACGAGGGUUAUACUGUCUCCUUUUUCUAAUCAGUGAAACUAAUCUCCCCGUGAAGAAGCGAGGAUAUAGCUAUAAGACGAGAAGACCCUAUGGAGCUUUAAACAAAACAACAUUUGCUAUGUUACCCAUCAAUUCCAGAAAAUUAAUUUUCAUUUUAGCACUAUGCUUGUUAGUUUUAGGUUGGGGUGACCGCGGAGAAAAAAGUAACCUCCACAUUGAAAGGGGCUCCCCCUAAGCAAAAAGCCACAACUUUAUACAUCAACAAAUUGACAUCAAUUGACCCAAUAUUUUGAUCAACGAAACAAGUUACCCUAGGGAUAACAGCGCAAUCCACUUCGAGAGCCCAUAUCGACAAGUGGGUUUACGACCUCGAUGUUGGAUCAGGGUACCCCAGUGGUGCAGCCGCUACUAAAGGUUCGUUUGUUCAACGAUUAAAACCCUA